UGGAGAUUGCAUCCCACGCAGGCAGCCCCCUUCCGUACAAGAGAGGCUGGCGGUUACCUUUCUUGGGGAGACGCGUCCGACUGCUUCAUUGUGGGGGCCUCAGGAGCGGAGGAUCGGGUCCCGCCCGAGGUGACGCGUAAACCCAGACUCUCAGCAACGCGGGUAGGAAGGACCCUUGAAGUUCCGCGGCGACCACGGAACUGUGCCUUCGAUCUCCACAGUCGGCUGAAACCAGCAGCCCAGGACAAGUGGACCAGCCAGCAAGACCCAGACCAUCCAAACCGGCUGAUCCUACGACAGGACCCAGAUGCCAGUGAAAGUGACCACAGCCCUGCUCUAGUCACCCCGGAAGCUGACCAGUCUACGCACGGCCGAAGCUUCGUCAAGGAAGUAAAUGUAGUUAGAAAUCUUAAGCCCAGUAAUUUUCCUUGUCAUCUUAAUUGUUUUACUAUUAACCUGUCGCUUUGCUCAACCCCCUCCUCUGGGCAAACAUCUCUUGUCCAUCCUAGGUACAAACAUGCUACUCUUCCCUUUGUUCUUGCUGCUCUCGCUAGAUCUAUGUCAGAAGGAGGGAUAUGCGGAGAGUUUAAUUUAACUAAUUGUUGCCUAAAAAUCGAUGACAAUG
rnacentral:lncRNA from 1 species